CGGCGGACGGGUGAGUAACGCGUGGGUAACCUACCCUGUACACACGGAUAACAUACCGAAAGGUAUGCUAAUACGGGAUAAUAUAUUUGAGAGGCAUCUCUUAAAUAUCAAAGGUGAGCCAGUACAGGAUGGACCCGCGUCUGAUUAGCUAGUUGGUAAGGUAACGGCUUACCAAGGCGACGAUCAGUAGCCGACCUGAGAGGGUGAUCGGCCACAUCGGAACUGAGACACGGUCCAA
rnacentral:rRNA from 1 species